GGGCGCCCGACUGGGCGCUUGGGGAGGAGUGGCCGCCGCGGUCCCAGCCUACACCCGGAUUCGCAGGCGGAGCGCCCGUUGGGUACCUUCGCUGAGCUUCUUUUAAACGCUAUCUUCUUCGCCUCUACAGAUGGGAAACUGAGGCUCGGCAAAGCUGUUUGGAAGCCUCAGGCUGGGGGGGGGGGGGCUUUGCACCCAGGAGUCUCCAGGCAGCGCGCGCGCCUGGCCACAGUGAUCUUGGGACGGGACGUGGGAACCUGGGCUGGAUGACCAGGGAAAGCCUGGAGGUCUCCCGCGUGCGCGGGCUUCCUCUGGGUCAGGGCCUGCGGGGCCAGGACAGGGCUGGGAACCGUGUUCACCCCUCGGACUCCGGGGCCAGCGGCCGGGUGUUCAGGGGUGCUUUGAGCCCGGCCAGCUCCGAGACGAGGGUCCACAUCCAGCCGCAGGUCUUCUAUCCCUCUAAUGGCCUUGGACACCCGGAGCUGGCAUCUUCCUUCUCCAGGGUAUCCCUUUCAGCCGCCUGCCCCGAAAAACCAUUAAACAAAACCCUUCUUCAUCCAGGGCCAGGUUACCACCUUGGUGUCCAUCUGCGCACAGGGGAGAGAAGACUGGACACCCAGACAGCUGUUGCCGCCUCAGAAACCGAGCGACAAAACUGGAAAGUGAACCGCACACAGUGCCACAGCGCACUGGGUAACCUGUAGAGCAUUUUCCAGAGCCACCAGGCAGCUCCCUCAGAGCUCCUGUUGCCCCUGAGCCCGAGGUCUGUGUGCUUGCAUAUGUGUGCUUAAGCUCGCAGGCUGCAGCCAACGGCAGGAGUUGGAAAACCUGCUUGUCCACCAGCUUGCGUCCUGGGCUUAUUUCCAACCUGCCCCUGCUCAGCGCUGCCCUCUGCAGGAGGGGGCAGCAACAGGAGCCACAGAACGGGUUGCUUCGAAUGGAUACACGCAAGGCUCGCCUGCCUUGUGGUGAGCGCUUGGUAAAUACGGUGGUUAAUGUAGACCCGCUUCACCGUUUUUAAUGACUGUCCAUGCUGUGAAUUGCCACAGUUAUCUUCCAGUCUCCCAGUGAUGACAGUUAACUUUUAUUUGCUGUGUUAAAUAAUUCUACCAUAAAUAUCAUCAUAAUUUUAAAUCUUGGUGUACAUAUUUCUGAUAUAAUACCAUUAUACAGAUUAUUUGUACCUAUUAGUGUUUGUACAUUCUUAUGUCAAUUUGUGUAGGAUAAAAAUCUUAAAAUUGGAAUUGCUGAGUAUGCAACUUUCAGGUAAAAUUCUAAAUUCAUUUUUCUUUUUGGGUACCACGAAUUGAUCAUGCACUUUCCAGGCAGGCAUUCAUGCUGCUGAGUUAUAUCCUUGACCAAAAAUUCUUUUUUUUCAAUUCCAUUUUAUUUCAAGGAUAAAAAGAAAACGAAAGGAAAAGAACAACCCCUAAAAAUUUCAAAAUACUUGAGAUAGCAGGAGGCAUUAUGGUAACCAUUGUUGAUCACCUUGUAUUAUGUUUUUACAUUAUCUAUUAUGUCCACCCUUUUGAUUUAACCGACUCUGUUCUGAUAUGUCACAUUUGGUUUUACUCUCUUCCAAAAAAAGUAAUAAGAACUGUGGGAGCAAUAAAACCCAAAAUAUGUAAUAGUCAUUGUACAAAAGAGAGGAAAAGAAAGUGCUCUAAACGAUAUAACUGCAUGUAUAUUUAAGUGUAUAAGAUAGACAAUGUUAUUACUGAGUUUUGUUGGAUCAUUGAACCGAACUGUUUGCAGUCUCACUGUUUGAAUGUCUACUUUAUAUGCUUUAAUUUUGUAACUUGAACAAAUAUUUCUAAGAUGACAAUAUGUAAUCUAUUAACUAGUGAUUUCCUACUGUUUAUUUUUUCUGAAAUUCUGUAUAACUUGUACCCUUUUUCUGCUUUUUUUUCUUUUUCUCCUUAAAUAAAAUUAAAAAAAUUUCAAAAUA